rnacentral:lncRNA from 1 species
AUGGAUAUUUUACCGACGCUCCCACCCCCCGACCCAAGCCAACAAGCCACGUGGCUCUUCCAGACGUUCACCCCUGGGACUCGGUAUAAAAAUACUACUCCGGCACCUACCAGUCCACUCCUGACUGCUUUCUCUGCUGCCUCCGUACGAAGAAUGGCCCAGACUCCCACCAAGACCACAUUCAGCAGGGGCAAGCUGGAAAGACGAGCUAGCAGAGAGCCCAACAGCCUCCAGACCUCUGAUGGCAGAACACUUGUGAUCGAAAUGACCCCCAAACCAACAAUCUGUGUGAAACACACCCAGAGAACUGAAGGGAUAGUGAAGGUGCACCACAUAAAAGGAUCGGAUAACAACACCCAUGUGGCUUUCUGCUUUCAGAAGAACACUGACUACUAUUACCCCUUCGUCAAGGACAGCAAGCUGAAGCUGCAGAAAGUAGGAUUGCCGAAAACCCCGAGAGGGAAGGAGUUCGAGUUCAAGUGGAACUCCGAGACCUUGGAGUCCGUGGCCCAGCCCAACUGGUUCUGGGUUAUUGACAAAAACAAAGUCCAGGUGCAAAAAGAAAAAAAAGAGACCUUCCGCUGGAUUAAACUUUACAGGAUGAAAAAAAAAACCAAAGCAUCCAAUGAAGCUGCACAGGGCAUUUCGUGUGUCAAGAAAUGAGCGUUUGAGUGUCGUCGUUAAGGGCGACCUAGCAACAGAGUAAUCCCUGUGAAAAUGAUGUGAUUGCGAUGUCUUCGCAACCUCGGUUCUCUGAAAGGGAAAGGAGUCAUCGGAGAUGCAGACGUGAUUUGUGACUGACGUUAUACUGACACUUUACUGUCGCUUUUAUUCCACCUAAGUCAUGUCUUUGCGUAUCUACGGAAGCCUAUUAGCGCCACGGGGAAAUAAAUUCAUUAGCGCGUUUAAAUGAGAUGUAAUCACGACGAGAUACUACUGCCAAGCUAACAGGACUCUCUUUAUAAAUCCAUAUUACUCUCAUGUAGCCGCUUCUCUGGCGUCCUGGAAUUGUUUGGGGAUUUUGAGGCUGGCAUUCCUGUAUCUAGUUAUAUUCACGCCUCCGCAAACCUAGACAGAAAUGCCUUUUCUUCUCCUUUCACAUGACUCAAAUGUAUUCUUUACAAGCACAGGCGAAAAGCAUGUUGUUUUUUUAAUACUUAAAUAUACUGUAAAUCCACAGUAGGUAUAGGUCUGGUUAAUUCAUCAUAAAAGUAUUCUGAUCAGUGUUUAAGGAAUAGGCAACAACCUUAUCGACAUUUUUCUGCACUUCAGAUCAAAAAGAAAAUGUCUGUCAUGCCACGCCUUUCCUGCUUUGCACAUAAAUGGUGAAAACAGUAAGAAUUGAACCCAGGAAUGCACCAUGACGUUAUUACCCUUCAUGUAUGAAAAGGACACUAUACGUGCUCCGUCAGGCUAAUAAAUUUGCAUAAAGAGGAGUGGGACGGUUUUUUUUCCUAAUGAAAAUAGUUUUGCAUACGGCAAUAUUAUUAAAUAUACCAGUAUAUUAAUAUACUAGUGUAAUUAUUUUACACAAUAAAUAUUGCGUUUAAAAGCAAUGAUUUAUUUUUCUUCGUGGCGCUGAUCAACUUCCGUACUAGCUUGCCGUACUAGCCUACUAGUGUAACACGUUCAAUAUUUGUAUUUUUUUCUUGCAUUAUGUAAGUUGUAUAACUUUGUAACUUAUCCCAGUUAUGUGACGGUAUUCAUUUUUAUCCUGGGUGUAUUUUGUAACUGUAAUGCUAAAACAUUUACCACUUUAUAAAUGCAAGUAAAUGUGAAUGUGAAGAAACCCUUUUUUAUUGUGAGUUUUAUUCAUGAUGUACGUACUGCAGUUCUACAGAAUUUAGGCAUGAUUUUAUUUUGAGCAGCAGUUCUGUUAAGCUUCCACUGUCGCAUGAACAACAGCUUUUCACCUUCGUGUUAAACUGUGAGGAGUCGUUCAAUCACUUCUCUCCGUGGUGGAUGCGACUAGGUAUGGUCUGGUCACUAAGAGUCUUUGGUCUUUCACCUUGUCUGUUGUCAAUCACUUAUAUGAUAAGAGAUAAAAUCACUUUAUUGCCCCUAUACAAUUUCUUGUAUUAGGAUUUUGUCUUUUCGCAUACCCCUACUUGCUCUCCAUGAGACACAUAGACAGAGAGAGAAGCUUAGGGUCAGAGGUCAGCCAUCAAUACGGCGCCCCUGGGGCAGUUGGGGUUAAGGACCUUGCUGAGGGGCCCAACGGAGUAGGAUUCCUCUGCCAGGCGGGAACUGGCAACCUUCCAGCCAUAGGCGCAGAUCCUUAGUCACAGAGCCACCAAGAAGGUGGCCAUCUGUAGUGAUAUCCGAGAAGAAACACAGAGCUCGGAGAAAAUGGGGACUAGACUUGGUCACAGAUGCUGCGAUUCUGCGGCAGUUUCAUUCCCUCGUAACCGCUGAAGACUGAGAGGGCUACACCUGUCUGUCCGAACUCUGAAGGGCCUGCCUGUGACUGGAACGAGAAAAUGUUUCAGUCGGGUAAUGUUUUUUUUUUCUCCUGUUGAAGACGACGGGAUUGUUUCUUAAUUCCAGAAGCUGUCGGCGUCUUCUUGGUUGCCGAUUCCGAGCAAAACCGUUCACUCACUGUUGGCGAGUGCUGGCGAUUCAAUAUCAUCAUUUUCAACCUUAAGGCAUCGAAGAACAGCGCAGUCCGUUCACUGAAGCCGAUUUCUCGUUCUCGCCGCUCAAUUGCAAAUAUGGUAGAGGCCCUUCACAAGUAAGAAAGUUCUUUUUGGCGUCGGUGGUUGCUCAUUUAAACAAGCCUCGCAUGUAUAUCCCCGCUUUACUGCGCCUUCUCGUCGAGAUGACUGACUCACAGCACCUGUAGGACGAGCAGAGCAGUUGAGAUCCAUGCGGUCCACUACGCGCCCCGCUUGCUGCCUAUACCUGCGGUUUGAGACCCCUGUUUGACACUGGAUGUGAGUAAAACUAAUUAAACCUCACUCCUGAAGAAGGCUCCACCGCCGAAACGUUGUGUUUUCUUUCUACUCUUUUCAGCAUGGAAUAAAUGUUCCCAGUGAAAAGUUUGUUUACCAGCGAUUAUGCAAGCAGCGCACGUAUUCCAAAACUGACUGACAGGCAGGUAUACGAUAUAUUGCAGCGACCCCCUCUUAGUUUCCCUUGCAGAGUGGGCAGCGCACGAAGAGGGGCAGGAGACGGUGACUGCCGCUAACAGACUUUAUGACCUUUGUCGCUUACAACAGUUGUGGCAGUCACGUGGAGAGCAGACACGGCUCCUGUUGCGCAGCACGUGAGGUGAGGUUAGACCAGGGAAAGAGGAGCGAGCGUGCACAGAAACAGACGCGGCAGCACGCUACCAUGUGUAUGAGGCUAUCGUCUCUACUGUUCUCAACGUUUUAUAUGAAGUUCACGGGAGAGCCCACGUAGGUUGCAACUUAAUAAUACAAAUUUCUUAAUCUUAUAUAGCGCUUUUCUGGAAACUCCACUCAAAGCACUUUACAGGUAAUGGGUACUCCGCUCCACCACCACCAAUGUGCAGCCCCACCUGGAUGAUGCGACGGCAGCCAUAGUGCGCCAGAACGCUCCCCACACACCAGCUAUCACUGGGGAGGAGAACAGAGUGAUGAAGCCAGUUCAGAGAUGGGGAUUAUUAGGAGACCAUGAUUGGUAAAGACCAGAGGGGAAUCUGGCCAGGACACAGGGUUAAUACCUCUGCUCAUUCCGAGAAGUGCCCUCGAGAAAAGGUUGCUUUCACAUAACCAAAAGCUUUUGACAAACGUUCAGAAUGUGAUCAAACGUUUUGUAAAUGGCGUUAUACACGUACCCAGAAUUACGGAGUAUCUGCGUAAUAGGUGAGCGGUCGAAAUUCUACAACCACUUCGCCCAAAUGUCUCUAACCAAUUAGGCCUGUGUAACCUGUCGUCGUUUGUUCGUUGGGCUGCAGCGACCUCGUGUGGUACACUGCAGUAGUACAGCACUGAGAACAAUAAUAAACCAGCAUUUUUUAAAAAACGGCUAAAAAACAUUGGUUACAUCAUUACCCAGACAUCUGUUCUUAAAUAUUA